AGAGUUUGAUCAUGGCUCAGAACGAACGCUGGCGGCAGGCUUAACACAUGCAAGUCGAACGAACGUAGCAAUACGUUAGUGGCGCACGGGUGAGUAACGCGUGGAUAUCUGCCUUUUGGUUCGGGAUAACCUUGGGAAACUAGGGCUAAUACCGAAUGGUUCCUACGGGAUAAAGAUUUAUCGCCAAAAGAUGAGUCCGCGUCCGAUUAGCUAGUUGGUGGGGUAAUGGCCCACCAAGGCGACGAUCGGUAGCUGGUCUGAGAGGACGAUCAGCCACACUGGGACUGAGACACGGCCCAGACUCCUACGGGAGGCAGCAGUGGGGAAUAUUGGACAAUGGGGGCAACCCUGAUCCAGCCAUGCCGCGUGAGUGAUGAAGGCCUUCGGGUUGUAAAGCUCUUUUGGCGGGGACGAUGAUGACGGUACCCGCAGAAUAAGCCCCGGCUAACUUCGUGCCAGCAGCCGCGGUAAGACGAAGGGGGCUAGCGUUGUUCGGAAUUACUGGGCGUAAAGCGAGUGUAGGUGGUUGUCGUAGUCAGGCGUGAAAGCCUUGAGCUCAACUCAAGAAAUGCGCUUGAUACUGGGCAGCUAAAGGACCGGAGAGGAUAGUGGAAUUCCCAGUGUAGUGGUGAAAUACGUAGAGAUUGGGAAGAACACCAGUGGCGAAGGCGGCUAUCUGGACGGUUUCUGACACUAAGACUCGAAAGCGUGGGGAGCAAACAGGAUUAGAUACCCUAGUAGUCC
rnacentral:rRNA from 1 species